AUACGGAGGAUGCAAGCGUUAUCCGGAUUUAUUGGGUUUAAAGGGUGCGUAGGCGGUUUGCUAAGCGGGAGGUGAAAUGCCGGCGCUCAACGUCGGAAGUGCCUCCCGAACUGGUGGACUGGAAUGACUCUGCCGUGGGAGGAAUGUGUAGUGUAGCGGUGAAAUGCUUAGAGAUUACACAGAACACCGAUUGCGAAGGCAUCUCACGAAGUGUUGAUUGACGCUGAGGCACGAAAGCGUGGGGAUCAAACAGGAUUAGAUACCCUGGUAGUCCACGCAGUAAACGAUGAUGGCUAACCGCUGGUUUAUUCGGAUCAGUGGCCAAGCGAAAGCGAUAAGCCAUCCACCUGGGGAGUACGACCGCAAGGUUGAAACUCAAAGGAAUUGACGGGU
rnacentral:rRNA from 1 species